AGAGUUUGAUCCUGGCUCAGGACGAACGCUGGCGGCGUGCAUAAUACAUGCAAGUAGAACGCUGAAGUCUGGUGCUUGCACUAGACGGAUGAGUUGCGAACGGGUGGGUAACGCGUAGGUAACCUGCCUCAUAGCGGGGGAUAACUAUUGGAAACGAUAGCUAAUACCGCAUAACAGUAUUUACUGCAUGGUAGAUACUUGAAAGGAGCAAUUGCUUCACUAUGAGAUGGACCUGCGUUGUAUUAGCUAGUUGGUGGGGUAACGGCUCACCAAGGCAUCGAUACAUAGCCGACCUGAGAGGGUGAUCGGCCACACUGGGACUGAGACACGGCCCAGACUCCUACGGGAGGCAGCAGUAGGGAUCUUCGGCAAUGGGGGCAACCCUGACCGAGCAACGCCGCGUGAGUGAAGAAGGUUUUCGGAUCGUAAAGCUCUGUUGUAAGAGAAGAACGUGUGUGAGAGUGGAAAAUCCAUUACGUGACGGUAACUAACCAGAAAGGGACGGCUAACUACGUGCCAGCAGCCGCGGUAAUACGUAGGUCUCGAGCGUUGUCCGGAUUUAUUGGGCGUAAAGCGAGCGCAGGCGGUUAUUUAAGUCUGAAGUUAAAGGCCGUGGCUCAACCAUGGUUCGCUUUGGAAACUGGAUAACUUGAGUGCAGAAGGGGAGAGUGGAAUUCCAUGUGUAGCGGUGAAAUGCGUAGAUAUAUGGAGGAACACCGGUGGCGAAAGCGGCUCUCUGGUCUGUAACUGACGCUGAGGCUCGAAAGCGUGGGGAGCAAACAGGAUUAGAUACCCUGGUAGUCCACGCCGUAAACGAUGAGUGCUAGGUGUUGGGCCCUUUCCGGGGCUUAGUGCCGCAGCU
rnacentral:rRNA from 1 species